ensembl:lncRNA SERHL serine hydrolase like (pseudogene)
ACUCCCCUCCUGCUACCUAGGCAGGCGUGAGGGUGUGACGGCCGCGCAUUCGCCAGACGAGAGCGAUGGCUGAGAACGCCGCACCAGGUCUGAUCUCAGAGCUGAAGCUGGCUGUGCCCUGGGGCCACAUCGCAGCCAAAGCCUGGGGCUCCCUGCAGGGCCCUCCAGUUCUCUGCCUGCACGGCUGGCUGGACAAUGCCAGCUCCUUCGACAGACUCAUCCCUCUUCUCCCGCAAGGUGUGAGGCUGGGGCUGAAGGGAAGGCCAGGGGGAAAGUGGGCAGGAAGACUUUUAUUACGUUGCCAUGGAUUUCGGAGGUCAUGGGCUCUCGUCCCAUUACAGCCCAGGUGUCCCAUAUUACCUCCAGACUUUUGUGAGUGAGAUCCGAAGAGUUGUGGCAGGAAAUGGAGAACUUGCUGACCUACAAGCGGAGAGCCAUAGAGCACGUGCUGCAGGUAGAGGCCUCCCAGGAGCCCUCGCACGUGUUCAGCCUGAAGCAGCUGCUGCAGAGGCAGAGAACAGCAUUGACUUCGUCAGCAGGGAGCUGUGUGCGCAUUCCAUCAGGAAGCUGCAGGCCCAUGUCCUGUUGAUCAAAGCAGUCCACGGAUAUUUUGAUCCAAGAGAGAAUUACUCUGACAAGGAGUCCCUGUCGUUCAUGAUAGACACAAUGAAAUCCACCCUCAAAGAGGACUACUUCGGAUACAAUCACAGCAACCCUGGCCUCGGCCCUGCCCUGUCCCUGCCAUGCAACUUCACAACUCAGCUGGCCUAGACCCCUGGGAGGCCUCCAAGUCCCUAAGCGGUUCCAGUUUGUGGAAGUCCCAGGCAAUCACUGUGUCCACAUGAGCGAACCCCAGCACGUGGCCAGUAUCAUCAGCUCCUUCUUACAGUGCACACACACGCUCCCAGCCCAGCUGUAGCUCUGGGCCUGGAACUAUGAAGACCUAGUGCUCCCAGACUCAACACUGGGACUCUGAGUUCCUGAGCCCCACAACAAGGCCAGGGAUGGUGGGGACAGGCCUCACUAGUCUUGAGGCCCAGCCUAGGAUGGUAGUCAGGGGAAGGAGCGAGAUUCCAACUUCAACAUCUGUGACCUCAAGGGGGAGACAGAGUCUGGGUUCCAGGGCUGCUGUCUCCUGGCUAAUAAUCUCCAGCCAGCUGGAGGAAGGAAGGGCGGGCUGGGCCCACCUAGCCUUUCCCUGCUGCCCAACUGGAUGGAAAAUAAAAGGUUCUUGUAUUCUCA